rnacentral:rRNA from 1 species
CUUACAACAAACCUUACAACCACCCCUUAAAUAAAUUAUUUACAUAAAACUAAUUACACUUAUUUUUUGAUAGUACUAAAUAGGAAUAAAUUAAUAGUAAAAAGUAGUGGUAAAAUCACGUACCUUGUGCAUUAUGGUUUUACAAGCAUAAAAUAAAUUAUAUACUCCCGAAUUCUAUGCGAGCUGUCCAAACAUUGCUAAGAGCCCACUACUAGUUGUAGCAUCAACUUUAGAAAAUGUUUGGACAGAGGCUACAUACCAUACGCGCUAGAAAAUUGCUGGUUUUCAGUAAAAUUUAUAUAUUAAAACAUGUGGUAUACACCACACUGUAAAAUUUAAGAGGAUAAGCCCUUAAAUUCAAAGCUAACAUAAUUUCAUUAUAAACUAAAAUAGGCCUAAUAACAGCCACCUCCAUAACUUUACCGUUUACUUCACACAAUUUAUAAUUAAAAUGCCUCAAUAAGCUGAAAAUUAAGAAUAAUUUUUAAACUCUUAAUUUAAUAUGUAAAAAUAAGUAUUAGAAUAUAUUAAUAAAACUUUAUACCUAAUUAACUCUUACUAAGGAACUCGGCAAAUCCUAAUUUCGACUGUUUAACAAAAACAUUGCUUUUUGAAAUAAAUAUAAAAAGUAAUUCCUGCCCAG